rnacentral:rRNA from 1 species
CAUUGUCGAAACCUGCUUAGCAGACCACACCUUGGCUUACCUCUGGUUCAGAGGAAGACGACAAAGCGCCAAAACUCAAACCCCGGCGUUGAAUGCGUCAAGGAAUUUAAAUUUUGCUCUGAGCACACUUGCAUGGCACGGGAGACGGUUUUCGUGCAGGUUGUGUUUUGACACAUGAUAUAGAAUGACUCUCGGCAACGGAUAUCUAGGCUCUUGCAUCGAUGAAGAACGUAGCGAAAUGCGAUACUUGGUGUGAAUUGCAGAAUCCCGUGAACCAUCGAGUCUUUGAACGCAAGUUGCGCCCGAUGCCAUUAGGUUGAGGGCACGUCUGCCUGGGUGUCACAUAUCGAAGCCCCUUCCCAAUUUCCUAUUUAAUAGGUAUUGUGUGCAGGGUGAUUAUGUUGGCCUCCCGUGAGCUCUGUCUCACGGUUGGUUGAAAAUUGAGACCUUGGUAGGGUGUGCCAUGAUAGAUGGUGGAUGUGUGACCCACGAGACCAAAUCAUGUGCUGCUCUAUUGAAUGUGGACUCUUUUACCCACAUGCGUUUUGUAACGCUCGUGAUGAGACCUCAGGUCAGGCGGGGCUACCCGCUGAA